GAUGAACGCUGGCGGCGUGCCUAAUACAUGCAAGUCGAGCGAACAGACGAGGAGCUUGCUCCUCUGACGUUAGCGGCGGACGGGUGAGUAACACGUGGAUAACCUACCUAUAAUACUGGGAUAACUUCGGGACACCGGAGCUAAUACCGGAUAAUAUAUUGAACCGCAUGGUUCAAUAGUGAAAGACGGUUUUGCUGUCACUUAUAGAUGGAUCCGCGCCGCAUUAGCUAGUUGGUAAGGUAACGGCUUACCAAGGCGACGAUGCGUAGCCGACCUGAGAGAGUGAUCGGCCACACUGGAACUGAGACACGGUCCAGACUCCUACGGGAGGCAGCAGUAGGGAAUCUUCCGCAAUGGGCGAAAGCCUGACGGAGCAACGCCGCGCGAGUGAUGAAGGUCUUCGGAUCGUAAAACUCUGUUAUUAGGGAAGAACAAAUGUGUAAGUAACUAUGCACGUCUUGACGGUACCUAAUCAGAAAGCCACGGCUAACUACGUG
rnacentral:rRNA from 1 species